rnacentral:rRNA from 1 species
CCUACGGGAGGCAGCAGUGGGGGAUAUUGCACAAUGGGGGGAACCCUGAUGCAGCGACGCCGCGUGGGUGAAGGAGCGUUUCGGCGCGUAAAGCCCUAUCGGCAGGGCAGACGAUGACGGUACCUGACAAAGAAGCCCCGGCUAACUAGGUGCCAGCAUCCGCGGUAAUACGUAGGGGGCAAGCGUUAUCCGACUUUACGGGGUGUAAAGGGGGCGCAGACAGCAAUGCAAGCCAGUAGUGAAAGCCCGGGGCCCAACCCCGGGACAGCUCUUGGAACUGCAUGGAAGGAGUACAGGAGGGGCAGGCGGAAUUCCUAGUGUAGCGGUGAAAUGCGUAGAUAGUAGGAGGAACACCGGUGGCGAAGGCGGCCUGCUGGACUGUGACUGACGUUGAGGCCCGAAGGCGUGGGGAGCAAACAGGAUUAGAUACCCGUGUAGUC